ACGCUAUUAGUAUAGAAACUAUACUUGACUUCCAAUCAAGAGACCGUGGACCUCACCCACGAUAGCGUA
rnacentral:tRNA from 1 species